rnacentral:lncRNA from 1 species
CCAAAAUGAUGUCAUUUGACUCCAGGUCUCACAUCCAGGUCAUGCUGAUGCAAGAGGUGGGUUCCCAUGGUCUUGGACAGCUCCGACCCUGUGGCUUGUGUCCCUGUUUCUACAUCUGUAAAAGAAAAAAUGUGGAAAACAUCUGUCAAGAAAGCUCCAGGAUCUGAAGUCUAAGGAAUCACUAAGAAAUGUACUGAUGAAAGAAAGGAAGUAAAUUAUUCUCUGAUUGUCACAACUGUUAGCAUUCCAAAUAUAUCAAAUAAUUUCUACCACUGAUUCUAUCUCAAAAUUAUUUCUAACCCAAAUUAAUAAGAGAUGUGUCUGGGAAUAUGAAUAAAUUAAUUACUUGUGCGAACCAGAUUAAAAUGACAACUGUGCUUAACCAUUAGGUCUAUAAUUUUCUUUUUCGCCACUUUUUUUCUGCUGUAUUUAUAUCCAGGUGACUUUCCACUUCAUUUCUCAAGUGUUAAGUAUUGAACACUAGUAAAUUCUGCAACUGCUUCCACUCCCAACUCAUGCAAUCUUUACUGAAUACCUCUUGAGACUGCACACAUUUAUAACAGCCUAUUCUUUUUUUUAACCUCUUUUUGACCUUUCUUAAGUUUCUUGCGUUAGAACUAACCAGACUCACCUUUACUAUUUAUUUUGACUGACAGACUGACCAUGUGGGAAUAAAGCAGCAAUGACUCUCCCAAAAUUCUCUUAACAUUGUCUAUUUUACUUUACACGAAAAAUUAUUCCUGUCUUAGGUAUUUUAAUACCAAUAUCAUGUUUCUUGUUUUGUUUUGUAUGUUUGUUUCACGUUUUUUCCAGAUCCGUGCCUGUAUAGAACCACCACAAAAUGUGUAACAUUGAAUGACAUUUGAGAUUAAGAAGGCAACAAUAAUAUUAUGUAUCUAUUAUAAAGAAGAAUGCCACAAAAACUCCCUGGGACCCUCUGCUCAUUAUAUUUAUAAUGCUGCAAGGAGGAACUUAAAUGAUCAUUUUUGCACCUUAUUAUUAUUUUUUAAUUGGAGACAGAGUCUUGCUUUGUGGCUCAGGCUGGAGUGCGGUGGCACAAUCUUGGCUCACUGCAGUCUUGACCUCCUGGGCUCCAGUAAU